AUUUUGUUUGUUAUUGUUUAAAGGCUGGAGGUAAAGCUGGUAAAGAUUCAGGAAAAGCAAAAGCCAAAGCUGUUUCACGUUCGGCCCGCGCUGGUUUACAGUUCCCUGUUGGUCGUAUCCAUCGUCAUCUGAAGAGUCGUACAACAUCGCAUGGACGCGUGGGUGCCACCGCCGCUGUUUAUUCUGCUGCCAUUCUGGAA